GACGAACGCUGGCGGCGUGCCUAAUACAUGCAAGUCGAGCGGAUGACGGAGGAGCUUGCUCCUCCUGAUUCAGCGGCGGACGGGUGAGUAACACGUGAGCAACCUGCCCUGUAGAUUGGGAUAACUCCGGGAAACCGGGGCUAAUACCGUAUAAUCCUUCGGACCUCAUGGUCCGAUGUUGAAAGACGGUUUCGGCUGUCACUACAGGAUGGGCCCGCGGCGCAUUAGCUAGUUGGUGAGGUAACGGCUCACCAAGGCCACGAUGCGUAGCCGACCGGGGAGGGUGAUAGGCCACACUGGGACUGAGACACGGCCCAGACUCCUACGGGAGGCAGCAGUAGGGAAUCUUCCACAAUGGACGAAAGUCUGAUGGAGCAACGCCGCGUGAGUGAAGAAGGUUCUCGGAUCGUAAAACUCUGUUGUGAGGGAAGAACAAGUACCGGAGUAACUGCCGGUGCCUUGACGGUACCUCAUUAGAAAGCCACGGCUAACUACGUGCCAGCCGCCGCGGUAA
rnacentral:rRNA from 1 species